rnacentral:tRNA from 1 species
AUUAUCUUGGCAGAAAUAUUUAUGCGAUAAAUUUAGAAUUUAUAUUAUGUAAAAUUAUUUACAGAUAAUA